UCCCUUCCCGGUCGGGAAGUUCGCUUCCGGCAAUUAGCUUUUAUGGCUAUCGCUGGGAUUUGUCACUUCGUCAAAUAUACGUCCACUCCAUUUUCUCAUGGGAAGCCCCAAGAACGAGAUAAGCAACUGACGAGGAACGCCAAUUACUCAACUAACUGGUCUGCAAGCCUAGGAAGAUAACCGUUUGAAUAGGUAGGUAAGAGCUCUACUGCUUUCUUACAAGAUUCAAAGAUUGUGGGAUGAUUAAAGUAGGUGUGCCAUAAUACUGAUUAUAAAAUGAUGUCAAAAGUAUGAUGUCAAAAAUAUGAUGUCAAAAAUAUGACGUUUCAUAAACUAAUCUUUCAUAGAACCAUCAACCAUUAUCACUUGGUUGUAUUCGACUUUUUCUUAGUAUUUUCCAACUCGUCUUAACUCUUUUGUAAUUUUAUAACUCUGGUAAACGAGCAUGGCUCCAAUUUCCAAAAGAUCUUUUAAAUUCAGCGGAAAUCACGCUUGGAGAAGCGAAUGAAAAGUCCAGUCUAUUUGCCAAAUCACGUUCUGAUCAGAAUUCCAUUCGUUCGAGUGUACAUGGCCUCUCAAGCUAUGGCAAUAAAAUAGAUCAACUUGAUACAAGGAAACUGUAUUGGGCAAGAUGAUGAUGGUAACCUUGACAUGAAGAAGACUUGCAAACUUUACAAUUCUGGAUUACUCUGUUCUCUUCAAGCACUUCAAGCAUUUCUUUCGAAAACGCCGGUAAGCAUCCGAUUACGUGCCUGUGAGACGUUGGGCAUUGUUUGGGCAUGGAGAUUUCGUCAUAGGGAGCAAGCAGAGCAAAUCGGAGGUCGCAAUUUUUUUUUGAAUUUUGAUUGUUUAAAACUGAUGUUUUAUGGUAGAUCUAUGUAUUUGAGAGAUAACUAAUAUGUAAUCACAUAACAAUCUGAUAAUUUACAGGAAAAUCGUUGAUGGCCGCCA